GCCCCCGUAGCUCAAAUGCCAGAGCGCCGGGCUUAUACCCCGGGCGGUGGAGGUUCAAGUCCUCCCCGGGGGUA
rnacentral:tRNA from 1 species